GACGAACGCUGGCGGCGUGCUUAACACAUGCAAGUCGAACGGAAAGGCCCUGCUUUUGUGGGGUGCUCGAGUGGCGAACGGGUGAGUAACACGUGAGUAACCUGCCCUUGACUUUGGGAUAACUUCAGGAAACUGGGGCUAAUACCGGAUAGGAGCUCCUGCUGCAUGGUGGGGGUUGGAAAGUUUCGGCGGUUGGGGAUGGACUCGCGGCUUAUCAGCUUGUUGGUGGGGUAGUGGCUUACCAAGGCUUUGACGGGUAGCCGGCCUGAGAGGGUGACCGGCCACAUUGGGACUGAGAUACGGCCCAGACUCCUACGGGAGGCAGCAGUGGGGAAUAUUGCACAAUGGGCGGAAGCCUGAUGCAGCAACGCCGCGUGCGGGAUGACGGCCUUCGGGUUGUAAACCGCUUUCGCGUGUGACGAAGCGUGAGUGACGGUAAUGGGUAAAGAAGCACCGGCUAACUACGU
rnacentral:rRNA from 1 species